rnacentral:rRNA from 1 species
AUGGUCUUGCCUUGGCUGAGCACCCGCCCGAAGGCAUUGGUGAAUAUUGGGUGUUUUAUGGAUGAUAUGUGGGGCUUUAUCAAUAGAGAUGAAUUUGAACAGAUCAGUACAGCACUACUAGAAUGUGUGAAAGGGCCAUUGGAGAAGGCCUUGGCAAAAGCUCGCUUGACAGUAGAACGAGCCUUGAAAGGACUAUAA